GGAUGCCCACACACAGCACGAGGAUCACGCUCAGCAGCAAAGCCCCCACCAGCCCUGCGUACACCAUUACACCAGCACCGGAGCCAAGAGCUGAGAAACAUACAGAAAACCCCAGACGGAGGUUGAGACAAUAACAGAAAGGAUGGGAAGGCGAGAUGGCACCUCAGCAGGCGGGAUGCCCUCUGGUGGACGACACUGCAACAAGACUUCCUGCUCCAGACGCACCUCCCUGCCAAGAGGCUCCUGCUCAAAGUUCUUCCUUAGGAGCUGUCUUCUAAAAAGGCAUGUCACAGCAACAGAUGACAUAAGCUGCUGAACACAAACUCACAGGCGAUGCGGACGUAAGCCCGCCGGCUCUUUGUGGUGCCUGCCGAGCUCCAGGCAACACACUGGCACCAAUAAUCCUCCAGCCCAAACAACUCCUCUACCUGCGUCCGGGAAACAGAGAUAUCUACUUCUCUCACUACCAGA